rnacentral:sRNA from 1 species
CAAGAAGCCAUGUUAGGCUUUAGGCUUCUCUGAACGUGACCAACCCUUAAGCUAACAAAACCAUGUCCCUGUGCUACCAUGAUGUACAGCUAUCUCAGUGGAACAUAAAAAUUCUAACUAACCCAAACUGCAUAAGCCACAAAGAAAGUAGUAAAUCCCAUAACUACAUCAAGAUGACUGCGAUUUCCAUUGUUGUAUCGCCACACGCAAGGAAUGGUUGGGAAUUAUGGAUAAAUAUUGGAGCCUUUGUUUUGUGACAGGGGAUGUCUUGUGUUUCUUGAGCCAAGCUUUUAUUGCCCUGUGCUCGUAGGUGUGCCCAUCAGCAGCAACAUAAGGUUAGCAAAUUUUACCUGCAAUAUUGGGCAGAUGAAGUGGCUCGGCACAGCUGCGUUUGGACUUCUUAAUGUGGGAGAAGCAGUAAUUCUGCUCAGAAUGCUCUCGAUCUCUGGCAGCACCUCCGAUUCAAGGCUAGGCCUGUCUCUACAUUUUAAAGCUGUACACCGCACCGCCAAUUUUGCCAAGAUCUCUGCCUCAGCGAUUGGCCAAUCAAUCUGAGAACUGUCAAGAACAUCGGAAAUUGAGUCUUUUUUUAUCGCUUCUUCUGCACUAAGUAUCAGCCCGUGUGGGCGCUUGCCAGUCAGUAGUUGAAGAAUGAUGAUCCCCAGAGCAUAAACAUCAGAUUUCGGACGAAUUGUCCCAGUUAACUGGUAUUCCGGAUCCAUGUAAUACAGUGUGCCGGCAACUGCAGUAUCUCUGUACUCUGUGAGCCCUUCCGGCACAAUAUCUGAUAUGAGCUUGGCAAGACCUACAUCACCAAUUUUGCUGACGUAGUUCUUGUCGAGCAAUAUGUUUCCAGGCUUCAGGUCACGAUGGACAAUGGGCUCUGGUUUCGUUGCAUGCAAGAAAGCAAGCCCACAAGCCACCUCAAAGAUGAUUUGGAUGCGCAGGAACCAAUGUAGUGAUUGCUGACCUUUGUUGUUAAUAAGUUGAUCUUCUAGACUUCCAUUCUCCAUGUAUUCAUACACGAGGCAUCCAAUUUCAGGGCAGAAACCAAGCAGAAGAACUAAGUUGGGAUGGUGAAAUAGGUUAGGAUACCUCUCUCAAGAACUCAUCAAUCUUGUCACUGGAAUCUUGCUGAAUAACCUUGACAGCUACUUCAGUAUGAUCAAGGGUACACCUGUACACAUUCCCAUAGCCCCCCUCACCAAUCUUCUUUGCAUCGGAGAAGUUAUCGGUGGCAAGCUGUAUUUCACGUUUUGAGUACCGCCUGCAACUUUUGCCAGUUGACAGAAGAGCAUCCAUAACCUUUGUCUUCUCAGCAAUCACCAUAUCAGCUACUAUUUCAGCCUUAUGCUUGGAAAAAGCCUCCUGAGCGAACAAAGUUUUUGCCAUCUCAACUUCUGUAACAGCUUCUAGAUGUCUGGUCUUCUCAUCUGCAACCUUCUGCUUCAACAAUUCCUCCCUAUGUAGUGCAUCUUGCACCUUCUUCGCUUCCUCACUUUAUCACACAUCACUAACCUUUUUCUUGGCAUGGACGAGAUCUUCACAAGCUUUAUCAUACAUCACUAACGUAUCCUGCAAUUCCUUUCUCAGCUGGAAACAGGUCUGACCUCAUCAAUUGAGCUCAAGGCAACAUAAGGGAUUUCCUUCAAUCGGCCAAUAGCAUCGGGAUCCGUGUUCACAUCUCUGCCCGGUGUUUUUCGCCCUAAGCUUCCAAAAAGGCUUCUUCCAUGACUUCCUGAACUUUUACCAGCAUUAGUAGAAGUGCUACGAGAGCUGCAGGUAUGAGAGCCUGCAUAACUCGUAUCUCCAGAAGAUUUUGGUGUUCCAUCCUCAGGGUGGUCAUGCAAAGAUUGUUUGUCUAGCAGCCAGUUCUUCUGUAUUCGGGAAAAUGAUUUAUGACUGAUUGACUGAAAUAUGGGCAAAACAUACUGCUUGUUCGAGCCUGAUUUGCAAACUUAAUAGUCAAUCUGUGCCUGGACACAACAAAUACAUUGCACGAACAUGGCAUAGCUUUCAGGACAGUAGAGGGCACAUCUCGGAGCCUAUACCUUUUGAACCAGUUGAGGGAGGUGGAUCCAACCACGAGGUUGCGGACGCCGGAGUCCGCCGCGUACCUGACCAGCGCCGCCGUGACGCUCGGCUCCUCCAGAAUCACCACUUACGGUUGUGCGGGCGAAGAGGCGGCGCAGGGGGAGGAAGACCUCCUCCUGCGCACGCGCGCGGCGGUCCUCCGCGUACAUCUCCACCGUCUCCGCGUCCAUCUUCUCCACCGGCACCCUCUCCCCCGAGGGGGAGGGGACGAAGGAGACGGGGGGGAUGACGUGGACGAGCGCGACGCGCCCGGCCCCGGCGCCGUGGGCGGCGAGGUUGGCGGCCGCCCACCUCGCCGCGCGGCGGCUGGCGCGCCCGUCCCCGCGCACCGCCACCGCCAC